UACAGAGGGUGCAAGCGUUGUUCGGAAUUAUUGGGCGUAAAGCGCGUGUAGGCGGCUUGGCAAGUCGGGUGUGAAAGCCCUCAGCUCAACUGAGGAAGUGCGCCCGAAACUGCUGAGCUCGAGUGCCGGAGAGGGUGGCGGAAUUCCCCAAGUAGAGGUGAAAUUCGUAGAGAUGGGGAGGAACACCGGUGGCGAAGGCGGCCACCUGGACGGUGACUGACGCUGAGACGCGAAAGCGUGGGGAGCAAACAGG
rnacentral:rRNA from 1 species